GACGAACGCUGGCGGCGUGCCUAAUACAUGCAAGUCGAACGCAGUGGGGACGGGUGAGUAACACGUGGGUAACCUCCCAUCAGAGGGGAUAACACGUGGAAACAGGUGCUAAACCGAUACUGAUGGAUGGACUCGGGGUGCAUUAGCGAGUUGGUGGGGUAACGGCUCACCAAGUCCACGAUGCAUAGCGGGCCUGAGAGGGUGAUAGGCAACACGGGGACGGAGACACGGCCCAGACUCCUACGGGAGGCAGCAGUAGGGAAUCUUCGACAAUGGACGAAAGUCUGACCGAGCAAGGCCGCGUGAGUGAAGAAGGUUUUCGGAUGGUAAAGCUCUGUUGUUAGAGAGGCGGUAUCUGACCAAGAAGCCACGGCUAACUACGUGCCAGCAGCCGCGGUAAUAC
rnacentral:rRNA from 1 species